AUUGAACGCUGGCGGCAGGCCUAACACGUGCAAGUCGAAUGGUAACAGGAAACAGCUUGCUGUUUCGCUGACGAGUGGCGGACGGGUGAGUAAUGUCUGGGAAACUGCCUGAUGGAGGGGGAUAACUACUGGAAACGGUAGCUAAUACCGCAUAACGUCGCAAGACCAAAGAGGGGGACCUUCGGGCCUCUUGCCAUCAGAUGUGCCCAGAUGGGAUUAGCUAGUAGGUGGGGUAACGGCUCACCUAGGCGACGAUCCCUAGCUGGUCUGAGAGGAUGACCAGCCACACUGGAACUGAGACACGGUCCAGACUCCUACGGGAGGCAGCAGUGGGGAAUAUUGCACAAUGGGCGCAAGCCUGAUGCAGCCAUGCCGCGUGUAUGAAGAAGGCCUUCGGGUUGUAAAGUACUUUCAGCGGGGAGGAAGGGAGUAAAGUUAAUACCUUUGCUCAUUGACGUUACCCGCAGAAGAAGCACCGGCUAACUCCGUG
rnacentral:rRNA from 1 species